UACGUAGGGUGCGAGCGUUAAUCGGAAUUACUGGGCGUAAAGGAUGCGCAGGCGGACAUUUAAGUCAGAUGUGAAAUACCCGAGCUUAACUUGGGUGCUGCAUUUGAAACUGGGUGUCUAGAGUGCAGGAGAGGUAAGUGGAAUUCCUAGUGUAGCGGUGAAAUGCGUAGAGAUUAGGAAGAACACCAGUGGCGAAGGCGACUUACUGGACUGUAACUGACGCUGAGGCAUGAAAGCGUGGGGAGCAAACAGG
rnacentral:rRNA from 1 species